rnacentral:lncRNA from 1 species
CUUUCUAAUAUACAAUAAACAUGCCAUUUCUAGUAUACAAUAAUUUAUACAGAAAUUUUUAGAAAAUCAUUACUUUAACCAACUUCAAUCUCUACCACUGCAUUUGGAACAAAUAAUAUUUAGUCAGAUGGAAUGCCUCUCAAAUAUUUAAAAGAACGGAGUCUCGCUCUGUCACCCAGGCUGGAAUACAGUGACGCGAUCUCUGCCCACUGCAAGCUCUGCCUAAGAAGGUUAAGUAAAGAGAAUAUCUGGCCACUUUCCUCAGUGUAUCUCAGUAAAUACUAUGUUAUUUAGCUCUUCUAUCAGCAGAUACUUCUUAAUGCUAUCAUUACAAAUACUCUACUGGAACAUAUAUACUCCCUCCUAAAUGUUCUAUAUUAUCAAAGGUAUACUUUCUUAAAGAAGUAGAUUUGAGAUGACAGAAUUUCAUGAAGAUUUGUAAAAUUAACUAUAACUUGUUAAAUAUGGAUGAAUAUUAACUUGUUAAUUUAAAUUGAGCAGAGAUAAAGGAAAGCAAGAUAUGUAAGCUGUUUAUUGCAUCAGUAAUUUUCAAAGAAAAUGAAUGUAAAGUAAACAGAGCAACAGAAGUGAGAGCAAAGAUUCUUUCCAGCUUUCCACAUCUUUGAAUUGAAACGAUAAGCCUCUGUCAAGUUUUAACUAGUCCUCCUUUACAUGUUCCUUUAUUUAUAGAAAUAUUUCAAGUAACAGCUUUUGUUCUCUCCAGUUAAAAACUUUGUGUGAUUUUCAUGCUGCUAAAAAGACACAUGCACAUGUAUGUUUAUUGUGGCACUAUUCACAAUAGCAAA